rnacentral:lncRNA from 1 species
UUUAUGGUGAGACCCAUGUGACAAAGAUCUAAAGCCUCCUUUCAGCAGCCCUUGAGUGAGCCACCUCGGAAUUGGAUCCCUCAGUCCCAGUCACAUCUGCAAACCUGGAAAACACCUUCACUACAACCUCAUGAAAGACCAUGAGACAGAACGGCCCAGGAUGAAAUGGAUGGAUCACCCGAAGGGAUACCAUUUGAGUUCUGGGAGAGCUGCCUGCCGACUUCACAAAGACGUAUUCCUCUCAUUAAUGACUGUUAGUGUAGCAUCAUGCAAUGCUCCUGAGAAACUGCAGAAAUAGUAAUGACCAUGUGAUGGCCAAGGCUGAUUGGAAGAUGCUCCUGGGGAGAGAUGAAGUUUGGAUUUACAGCAUCAGCAUGAAGGAGUUGCAAGCAUUGGUGUUGUAAACCGCACUGGCACCUGACACUAAAUGUGGGAAAGGGAUGGGGUUCCAGAAAUAAAGCAAAAAUACCAGGCAAUGGAUGCACAGUGACUGAGUUUUGGGAGAGGCAUAAAUGCCAAGGAGAAUGGGUUGUAGGUU